GACGAACGCUGGCGGCGUGCUUAACACAUGCCAGUCGAACGGAAAGGCCCUGCUUGCAGGGUGCUCGAGUGGCGAACGGGUGAGUAACACGUGGGUGAUCUGCCCCUUACUUUGGGAUAAGCCUGGGAAACUGGGUCUAAUACUGGAUAGGACCAUGCUGUAGGUGGUGUGGUGGAAAGAUUAGUUUCGGUAAGGGAUGAGCUCGCGGCCUAUCAGCUUGUUGGUGGGGUAAUGGCCUACCAAGGCGUCGACGGGUAGCCGGCCUGAGAGGGUGGACGGCCACACUGGGACUGAGAGACGGCCCAGACUCCGACGGGAGGCAGCAGUGGGGAAUAUUGCACAAUGCGCGCAAGCCUGAUGCAGCGACGCCGCGUGGGGGAUGACGGCCUUCGGGUUGUAAGCUCCUUUCAGCCAUGACGAAGCCCUUGUGGUGACGGUAGUGGUAGAAGAAGCACCGGCUAACUACGU
rnacentral:rRNA from 1 species